rnacentral:lncRNA from 1 species
GCAGUUUUCUACUCGAGGAAUAACAAAAGAUCAGCUGGCACUAAGCAUUUGGAAAUCAAGUUUCUUCUAGUGAGAGAAAAGAUCAAGCAGGGUCAUACUAGAAUUGACAUAUAGACACACAUUCAAUGAUAGCAGAUCCUCUCAAUAAAGCAAUUCCAAAUGGUGUUUUCAAGCAGCAUGUGAAGAGCAUGGGAGUUCU